rnacentral:misc_RNA from 1 species
CAGAGAACGUGCCCCUCGGGGCGCAUCUCCCACCCUGUGUUUAUCUUACCUUUGUUGCUUUGGCAGGCCCGUCCUCGGACCGCUGGCGUCAGCUGGCCCGCGCCUGCCAGAGACCCCCAAACUCUUAUUAUCAACGUCGUCUGAGUACUAUACAAUAGUUA